rnacentral:rRNA from 1 species
GUGUUGUGAAAUGUUGGGUUAAGUCCCGUAACGAGCGCAACCCUUGUCCUUAUUUGCCAGCACGUAAUGGUGGGAACUCUAAGGAGACUGCCGGUGACAAACCGGAGGAAGGUGGGGACGACGUCAAGUCAUCAUGGCCCUUACGAGUAGGGCUACACACGUGCUACAAUGGCCGGUACAAAGGGCUGCCAACUCGCGAGAGUGAGCGAAUCCCUUAAAGCCGGUCUCAGUCCGGAUCGGAGUCUGCAACUCGACUCCGUGAAGUCGGAAUCGCUAGUAAUCGUGAAUCAGAAUGUCACGGUGAAUACGUUCCCGGGCCUUGUACACACCGCCCGUCACACCAUGGGAGUGGCCUGCACCAGAAGUGGUUAGCCUAACGCAAGAGGGCGAUCACCACGGUGUGGUUCAUGACCGGGAAAGUCGUAAC